AGCGGCACUACAAGCAAUCACACAUGAAGCCAAUGAAAGAUAGAGCAUCACCCAAUAAACACUUGGUUUCCAAUGUUCAAGACCAACGUCCUCCUCAUCAUCAAGAAUAUCAGAUAAAGAAGAAGAAGAAGUUAAAAUUACUGAAAAAUAAAUAUGAAAUGUAGAAGAAAUCUUGAUAAUUUUGCAUACGUCACUUUCUGGACUGAAUGAGAAGUUCAUUUAAAUUACCUGAACAUCCAAAAAAUCCAUAAAGAACUACUGCAGCUCUUCCAGCAGUUGUUUGAGGAGCCGUACUUCCAUAACCUACAGAAACAAUGGUUCCAACAAAAUGAAAACUACCAGGAAAAUCCCAACGACGUCUUUUAUUGAUGAUACCAAUUGACGACGCAUUUCCAUAAGCGUAAAGCAACUCAUGUAAACGUUGAAUUGCAUGAGGGCUAUUCCUCAAGUGAUAUCUUUUAAAGGCAUUAUAUAUCCUCCAGAAUUCAGAAGCCUAACAGGUCAGCUUCUAAUGUUUGGAACAAGGCAGCUCCAGCGAGCAUAUAAACGGCAAGAACAAAAGCAAGAAGAAUAAAUCUGGCAUUGUCUUCCGCGAUAUUUCCGCAGAUGCACAUCCCCGACGGAUCGCAUCUCUCUGUUACUCGAAACUUGCGGAUUCUGUCCCCACUACGAGCCAGGAUUCCGCUUUCCGGACCAAACUCGCGCAAGCUCCUCAACGUGCUCUCCUGUUUCUGACCAACGAAAUGGAAUCGAAAUCUGCGCUGUUUUGUUUGUCUCGCUGCGAUCAUAUUCUGUUUUUCUACUCUUUGAAAAGAUCCCACGGCUUCAUAAGGAAAAGGAAGUCUCGUUAUCAUCUGAGGUAAAUCUCACCAGUGUUUGUAUUUGACGAUUUUGUUCAGCGGCAACUCGAGCAAUGUCACCCUCAGUCUUUCUAACGAAUUU